CAUCCAUCCUUGAACGUCCUAUUCACAAAUUAGUGGUACUUGUAGAAAACAAUUAAAUCUUAAGCAAUGGAACUAAUCUCUUUCUCCAACACAAGUUGGUAGUUUGAAGUAUUAAGAGUUUAAAUAUUAGUCUUGAUGCCAAGAGUCAGAGAACAUUCUAUAUGGUUCUGAAAUUUGUUUUGUGAAAUUACUAAAUUUAUUCAAACUUGUGUACAAGUUCAUUAUAAAUUAUGGUAAUUUGGUGGGAGUGUAACUGUCUAAGGACAAGUAUUUGUUGAGAUGUGUAUUUGUUUCUUUUUAUAAAUUGAUGUAAAUUUGAGUUCAUUUAAAUACAAUUGUGAUAUUCAGAAGCGGAUAUUUAAAAUGUAUGUAAAAUGCCUUAGGCGUUUUAAAGUUAGGGGUUCUUUAAGGAGGAUUUACGUAGAAAACGUGAUGUCACAUGACCCGGUUCAGUUUGUAGCGGUUCUGCGUCACUUUGGGUCAGAACGAACAUGAAUGCAGAGAAAUGACAUGUGGUCUGAAAAGAGUUGCUUAAUCUGCAUGGUUUGAGAGGCGCACACGUUUUCACGGUGUCUAUGGUGUCAACUGAAGAGAGAGAGAGAGAGAUAUGUACGAAAUAAACGACAAAGACAUCUG